GGAGGAUUACACACCGCUGCCGUCGCUCGAUGUGUGAGAGGAGCAUGGAUCGAGCUCCAUUCGAUCGAGGAGCUUAAGGAGAUGGCGAUCGACGGAGGAAGUGAGUCGGUGUCGAAGUUGGGCCGCGGCGGUGUCCAUCGAGAGAGAGGGUGGAGCAAACGUCGAUAGGAGAAGGUGGAGAUACGGUUCCAGCGACGGCAGCGACACGUGGAGGUGCUUCCUGGCGGCGGAGAUCGGCCGGAGGGCUGCAGGGAAGAAGGAGGAGACGGCAGGAUGGCAGGACCACGUUCCAAGAAAGUCGAAGGUCGCCGGCUGUGGGCCCGUGGUCGGAGUUUAGUAACCAACCAGAAUGUUUGGAAAGUUAAGUGACCUUCCUAUAAUUUCUAUAAAGUUCAAGGACUGUUGUGUAGUUCCCGUAAGUUGGAUGACUGAUCUGCGGUUGACAAAUGUUCAGAGACUGAAUCUGUAAAUUUCCAAGUUGGGUAUUGAAAGGACGAUUCUGCCCCUGCAAGUUUUAGAUUCUUGCAAAUAAGUAAUUGAAGCAUAACUCGACUGUUUGGACUCCAAACGACGUGCGGUGAGAAGCUAUGGACUCGUGGCAGGAAGAGGAAUCAUGUCAAGUCAGAAUCGGAGCUGUCAGCUCUUUUUGAGAGGUAGAGUUAGGAUUACUUUUUUGCUCUUGUCAGGAAUCGCUCAUUGCCAGAUAAGCUUUAUAGUUUUUCAUACAUGAUCUUGCAGAUACUCUCCUUGUCAUCAUGAAGUUGGACCGAACGCUCCUUUUUGAAGGGGCUUUCGAACAUCCUAC
rnacentral:lncRNA from 1 species